GGUGAGGUGGGUGAGUGGCUGAAACCACCAGUUUGCUAAACUGACGUACUGGAGACGGUACCGGGGGUUCGAAUCCCCCUCUCACCGC
rnacentral:tRNA from 1 species